GAAAUGCGAUAAGUAAUGUGAAUUGCAGAAUUCAGUGAAUCAUCGAAUCUUUGAACGCACAUUGCGCCCCCUGGCAUUCCGGGGGGCAUGCCUGUUCGAGCGUCAUUACACCACUCAAGCCUGGCUUGGUAUUGAGCGCCGCGGCCUGCCCGCGCGCUCCAAUGUCUCCGGCUGAGCCGUCCUUCUCUAAGCGUUGUGAAUAGCGAUCGCUUGCGAGGCCCGGGCGGUUCGACGCCGUUAAACCCCCCAUUUUCUAUGGUUGACCUCGGAUCAGGUAGGGAUACCCGCUGAACUUAAGC
rnacentral:misc_RNA from 1 species